GGGUUGGUAGCUCAGUCGGUAGAGCAGCGGACUUUUAAUCCGUUGGUCGGGAGUUCGAGCCUCCCCCAACCCACCA
rnacentral:tRNA from 1 species